AUACUUUGUCUGUAUUUAUCUUCCUGCUUCCUAAUUAAAACUCUUGUUCUCAUAUCCUCAGUCAUUUCCCCACAUUUCCUCUCUAUUGUUUCCCCUCAAUCCCUUCCUCAGCAAGGGUACUUAUGGUGGUUUGCAUGUGCUUGGCCCAGGGAGUGACACUAUUAGAAGGUGGGGCCUUGUUGGAGGAAGUGUGUCACUGUGGGGUGGGCUUGGAGACCCUCCUCCUAGUUCCUCCUAGGAUGCUGAAUCUGUUCAUCGCUUCCUUCGGGUGAAGAUGUAGAACUCAGCUCCUCCUGCACCAGGCCUGCCUGGAUGCUUUCAUGUUCCCGCCUUGAUGAUUAAGGACUGAACCUCUGAACCUGGUGGGAGCUGAGUGAUAGUCAUCUUUGAAAAGCCUUUCUCCUUGCAAUCUGAACUUGAAAAUCAAAGGGAUGAUUCAGUCAUCACUGCCAUAAACAUUAAGCAAGUUAUCUUUGAGCGGCUGAAUUACUUGGACUGGAGAAACACUAUAAAUAUUUCUAAUACAUCCUUGAAGUCACAACGGUAGAUUUUUUUUUUCCAGGCAGACCUUCCUCUCAAAGCAUAGUGUCAGCAAUACAAAUACAGUGUUGGCCGUUAUGCUUGGAUGGGAAGGUGUCCUGGAACUCUGAAGCCCCAGCACCACUCAACUCUAAGGCGGGAUUGAGCAGCAGCUCAAAUCCUGGAGGGUGACUCCAGAGGCCGCACUGUAGUCGUCAGACAAUACGGAAGUUGUGGGAACCCAGACACUUGGAUCUAUGAACAAAGACAUUUGUCCUCCUGAGCACCACCCUUAGAAAUAAAUAUAUUUCAUUCUCCCAUCACCCUUAAAA
rnacentral:lncRNA from 1 species